UACGGAUACGCCCCGGAUACAUAUCCGUGGCGUAUCCACGUAUCCCCGAUUAAAUGGGCCGAAAACUUCGGAUCGGAAACGUUUCCGCGCCUGGAUUCGGCCCAGCCGGCCCAACAUCACAGCACAUCCCACCUCCUGCCCUACUCCCGUGACCCGUCGGGCGUCGGCUCUCCCACGCGCAGCCGCCUCACGCAGCGCAUCGCCGCAUUCUCCCGCUCGACCUGACGGCUGACGCAGCGCCUCCGCCUCUCGUCGGCCGCCGUCCGCUGGCCGCCGUCCGUGAGGCCGCCUCCUGCCAGCCUCCGUCCGCCUCCCGCGGCCACGGGCCGCGAGGCCGCCUCCGGCCGGCCGCAGGCUGCCUCCCGUCGCCCUCCGUCCGCCCGUGAUUACUCCCGUCGGCCUCCGGCGUAAGGAGCCCCAGCCCCUGUUCAGAUCCUGCUUAUUAAAGGACCAAUGUCAACUGUCACUGAUCAGAAGAAGCGCACAUUAGAAGCCCUUAAGCAACAGUAUACUGCUGCAAAAGCCAAGAAAUUACAAGAUGAACAGCUUAAGAGCCAUAAGAGGAACAAUUUUGAUGCCCCGAAGCCUAAAUUUGAUACGCCAAGGAAAGGCAAAGCUCCAGAAGUCACUCCUCGUCAAACAUCUGCCCUGCCCUCGUCUCAUAAAGGUGUAGCAUUUUCCAGCUGCAGUCGUCAACAAAAAUCUUCUGCAUCCUCAGGUGAAGAAAUCAACCCUGUGUAUGCUGAACUUUCAUGUUCCCUUCAUGACAAUUUGCUCCAAGAUGGCAUUUCGGAUUUUGAUAGCACAGAGGUUGUUCACAGUGUUAUAUAUGACAUAAUUCAGAAAGGUGGAGAUUCUGGGAAAAUUACCAAGGGAGCCAAAAAGUUAAAGAUGGAAAAGGGGAUCCUUUUGGAUAACUAUGUUCAGAGGGGUCCUAGACUAGUGGAUGCCCAAGCAAGAUCUUUGUUGAUUCACUCAAAGCGAUCAAAACAGCACAUGUCUUUGAAGCAACAUAAGAAAUGUGGUUCAUUUGAUUUAGAUGGUACAUUCCACAAGUAUGACCUCUAUAAGCCAAUGCAUGAGAUGUGGAAGACAUAUAUCAGAGAGCUUACAAAAAUUACCCCGAAAAAGCAAUUGUCCGAAAACCUCCUUUCUGCAGAUCUUCACGGGGCCCUUCUAAUAGUGGCAGAAUGCAAAGCUGCUUCAUAUCAAGGUGUAAGUGGCAUCAUGAUUCGGGAUACUGCAGAGACUUUUGGAAUUAUAUCACAGGACAAUCAUUUCCGAGAGCUUCUAAGUGGCUUAUUUCGAACCUGCAGUCGUACCAAAAGCUGGUUCGGUUUUCAUCCUCCAAGCGGACUGCUGGAAGGUCACACUGAUCGGCGACAAGCUUUCGCCCAAAGAAAAGUUGAAGGAGGACCAGCGCCAGCAGCGCGCACAAUCGCUGAUCAGAUAGUUUCCAAUCUAGUGACUGAUGCUCCAAAAAAUUUUGCCUCACGGAGGAACAUGUAGAGUUAUUUGUUUGUUUCUGUUUAGCUCCUGUCACUGAAUCUUGGCCCUUCGACAUUCCUAGCGGCAGUGACUGACAGACCACUUCAGUUGUAAGGGUGAAGCACCUACGGAUUUCAGGUGCGUGGCCAUGUACUGUACUAGACUUUAGGUGACGCAACAACUGUAGUAGUCCUGGCACCUACGGAGUUUUGGUGGAGCAAGUACUGUAGCAGUUACACUUUGCCUUCGGUUCUCGUACGAUUCAUUCAGUUACACUGAGUAAUUAAUUGUUUCUGUCACAA